AUGGACUGGUCGUUGCUGCCCCUUGAUGCGCUAUCCUUGAUCUUUGUCAGGCUCGGCGCCGUCGACAUCCUCAUGGGCGCCGGCCUCGUGUGUCACUCCUGGCUCGUGGCGGCGAAGUUGCCGGAGGUGUGGCGAUCUGUCGACAUGGACAAACACGAGGUUGUGCUCCGAAAGGGCGAUGCUGUCCUGCGUCAGAUGGCGAAGGCAGCCGUCGACCGUUCUGACGGACAGCUCAGGGAGUUUGCAGGGAGGUUGUUUGUCACCGAUGAGCUCAUCAAGUAUAUCGUGGAAAGGUAUUAUUCUUCCAUUACUACUUGA
rnacentral:rRNA from 1 species